UACAGAGGGUGCGAGCGUUAAUCGGAAUUACUGGGCGUAAAGCGCGCGUAGACGGUUUUGUAAGUCAGAUGUGAAAUCCCUGGGCUCAACCUGGGAACUGCAUUUGAGACUGCAUGGCUAGAGUAUGGAAGAGGGAAGUGGAAUUUCCGGUGUAGCGGUGAAAUGCGCAGAUAUCAGGAGGAACACCAACGGCGAAGGCAGCUCUCUGGGACGUUACUGACGCUGAGACGCGAAAGCGUGGGGAGCAAACAGG
rnacentral:rRNA from 1 species